GUCAUUUUUACUGCAGGUAGACACAUACAAAUGUGCACCAUUCUACUUUUGCACCCAGUGACCUCAGUGCCUUUGCUAUAGCAUCCCUGUGCAGUGCACAUUUCUUUUCGUUAUAGUAGUUUGCAGAGCUCUUCAGACGAAACGCCUCUGUUAUAGGGUUUGAUUCAGAAGAGAUCUAAAUCAUUUUGCAUGCCACAUAUUACAGUGAGAGAAAAUAGUUGAUCUGCUGCUGAAUUUGUAAGUUUGGUCAAGAAAUGAAUAGUCUCUAUAUUGAUAGUUUCAUUUUGAUAGAGAGGGACAGAAUAUCAAUCAAAAAUCCAGAAAAUCUAUUUUGAAAGUUAUGGAUUGAUUUGUACGUCAUUGAGUAAAAUCAGUAAUUGAUCCUCUAUAAAGUAGCCAGAGUUCUGAUUGGCUGUGUACCCAUGCAAUACACAGAUUACAGAUUGUCAGUCAGAUACUCCUGAUCUCAACACAUACGUUGAGAUCAGGAAUGAACAUUAGGGAUAAGAGACCUGCACAAUGCUGGAAUGGGCUACAGACAAUUAGCAAGAUCUGUUGGUGCGAGUAUUCAGAACUGGAAGAAAUACACUGCUCAGAAACAUUUUAAUCAGAUUCUAGCUUCAAGUCAAUGAAAUGUCUGAGAUAUUGAUCUCAUCAAUUAGUUCAGUUGUAUUUAUAUAGUGCAAAAUCCCAGGAGGAGUCGUCUCAAUGCGCUUUAUAUAGAAAGGUAAAGACCCUACAAUAAUAAUAAUAAUAAUAAAACAUACCACCAAGGCAACAAAGGUGUGGUUAAAGAAAAUUAAUGUCAUCGAGUGGCUUAGCCUCCCCCUCCCCCAGGAAAUCUGUGGAGGGAGGUGAUGCUUCAAGUUGUCGAGUGUAAUCCAAGAAACCAAAUAGUCUGGCUGACAUUCUGUCUCUACUACUAUAAAAUUAGAGACUGUUCUUUGGAAGUAAGCAAAGUUACAAAUUCAGACGAGUAUCAAAUAAUUUUCCUCUAGUGGAUUCAUUAUAUUGGAAUUAUACUCAAAAGAAAACGAGUCUUACCUGGCGGGCUUGACUAAACUAGUUUGUGUUUUCUAAUUUUUUUCCAACCUGUUCUGGCUGUGCGAAUAAAUAUGCGAAUAAACAUGCAAGGCAAGGCAAGGCAAAUUUAUUUGUAUAGCACAAUUCAACAACAAGGUGAUUCAAAGUGCUUUACAGAGACAUUAGAAACAAAAACAAAUAAAAAGCAUGAUUUAAAAUUGAUUAAAACAAGCAAACAAACAAACUAACUAAACACACACAUUUCACACCUGUUCGCGCGAUCUGAACCGUUUUCGUAAGGGGAGCUACCAGUCCUUCUGUGGACGAGCUACUUUCUAUUUUAAAUUCCCUGAAUUUAAAAUACUCUCUAGACCCAGUCUAGACCCAGCUGGGGAGCUACCCAGAGCUCUAAACCCACUUAACUAACAAACAAACAAACAAACAAACAAACAAACAAACAAACAAACAAACAAACAAACAAACAAACAAACAAACAGUAUAUAAAAUCCAAACAAACAAACAAACAAACAAUAAAAUCCAAACAAACAAACAAACAGUAUAUAAAAUCCAAACAAACAAACAAACAGUAUAUAAAAUCCAAACAAACAAACAAACAAACAGUAUAUAAAAUACAACCAAACAAACAAACAGUAUAUAAAAUACAAACAAACAAACAAACAGUAUAUAAAAUCCAAACAAACAAACAGUAUAUAAAAUCCAAACAAACAAACA
ensembl:lncRNA